rnacentral:rRNA from 1 species
ACUCAAAUGAAUAGACGGGGACCCGCACAAGCGGUGGAGCGUGUUGUUUAAUUCGAUGCUAAGCGAAGAACCUUACCCAGGUUUGACAUCCCGAGAAUUUUUCCGAAAGGAAAUUGUGCCGCAAGGAACUCGGUGACAGGUGAUGCAUGGCCGUCGUCAGCUCGUGUCGUGAGAUGUUGGGUUAAGUCCCGCAACGAGCGCAACCCUUAUGUUUAGUUGUAUUUCUCUAAACAGACUGCCCUGGCAACAGGGAGGAAGGGGGGGAUGAUGUCAGGUCCGUAUCUCCCUUACAUCUGGGGCUACAAACACGCUACAAUGGCCGGUACAAAGGGCAGCCAACCCGCGAGGGGGAGCAAAUCCCAUCAAAGCCGGUCUCAGUUCGGAUUGUAGGCUGAAACUCGCCUGCAUGAAGCCGGAAUCGCUAGUAAUGGUAGGUCAGCACACUACCGUGAAUACGUUCCCGGGUCUUGUACACACCGCCCGU